UGACAAGUAAGAAAAGGGCAACAGGUGGAUGCCUUGGCGUCGGAAGGCGAUGAAGGACGCGGACGGCUGCGAUAAGCCUCGGGUAGGAGCCUAACAUCCUUUGAUCCGGGGAUUUCCGAAUGGGGCAACCCAGCGGGCGUAUGCCCGUUAUCCCCGACUGAAUACAUAGGUCGGGGAGGCGAACGCAGGGAAGUGAAACAUCUCAGUACCUGCAGGAAAAGAAAUCAAACGAGACUCCCAAAGUAGCGGCGAGCGAAAUGGGACGAGCCUAAACCGUGCUGUUCCGACAGCGCGGGGUUGUAGGGCCGCUAUAAUUGAUCCGUGAGUAGGCAGGGGAAGAGUCUGGGAAGGCUCGGCACAGAGGGUGAGACCCCCGUACCUGAAACCGAAAAGGGCAAGAGCGGUACCUGAGUACCGCGGGGCACGUGAAACCCCGUGGGAAUCCGGGAGGACCAUCUUCCAAGGCUAAGUACUAACCGACGACCGAUAGUGAACUAGUACCGUAAGGGAAAGGUGAAAAGUACCCCGACAAGGGGAGUUAAAAGACCUGAAACCUGUUGCCUACAAGCUGUGGGAGCCUGGUAUUCACCGAAGCUGUGAGCUUGCGUGUAUGGAUGUUUAAAAACAUCCUCGGUGCAGUGUUCAUAUUUUCGGUGAAUACCGGGUGACCGCGUGCCUUUUGCAUAAUGAGUCAGCGAGUUACUUUGUCCAGCAAGGUUAAGCGAGAAGCGGAGCCGUAGCGAAAGCGAGUCUGAACAGGGCGUUAAGUUGGGCGGAGUAGACCCGAAACCGAGUGAGCUAUCCAUGGGCAGGUUGAAGCUCAGGUAAAACUGAGUAGAGGACCGAACCGUCAACGGCUGAAAACGUUCCGGAUGACCUGUGGAUAGGGGUGAAAGGCCAAUCAAACUCGGUGAUAGCUGGUUCUCCCCGAAAUAUAUUGAGGUAUAGCCUCGUGGAUUAUCUUGCGCAGGUAAAGCACUGACAGGGCUAGGGGUCCCACCAGAUUACCAAACCCUAUCAAACUCUGAAUGGCGCAUAGAUUUACCACGGGAGUCAGACUGCGGGUGCGAAGAUUCGUAGUCGAGAGGGAAAGAGCCCAGAUCAACAGCUAAGGCCUCCAAAUUCAUGCUCAGUGUGAAAGGUGGUGGAGUUACACAGACAGCCAGGAAGUUGGCUUAGAAGCAGCCAUCUUUUAAAGAAAGCGUAAUAGCUCACUGGUCUAGUGACUCCGCGCCGAAGAUGUAACGGGGCUAAGCAUGAUGCCGAAGCUUUGGGGUGAUGUUUUAAUUUUUCCUCGGUGUUACAAAGAGUGUUGUUGUGGUCUUCGAGAUCAUGACAGACUGGCACGAAGGUUGCGACAGCAAGCUUCGUGACAACGAGGAAAUAUUACAAACAUUACCGGUAGGGGAGCGUUCUCAGUGGGAUGAAGGUGUCCCGGAAGGGGCAUUGGACUUCUGAGAAGUGAUUAUGCUGACAUAAGUAACGAUAAAACGGGUGAAAAACCCGUUCGCCGCAAACCCGAGGUUUCCUGGGUCAAGGUAAUCUUCCCAGGGUUAGUCGGCCCCUAAGGCGAGGCUGAAAAGCGUAGUCGAUGGGAAACGGAUUAAUAUUUCCGUACUUGCACAAGUAUGUCCGGAGGGACGCAGAAGGAUAGCCCGGCUUCCAGUUGGAUGGGAGUGAAAGGCGGUAGGCGGAAAAGGGUAAUCUCCUUUUCAUAACGCCGAGAGCCGAUGCGAGUCGCAAGACGAGCGGGUGAUUCCCGGCUGCCAAGAAAAGCUCCGCUUCUUAGCUUGUGUGAACCGUACCGCAAACCAACACAGGUGGGUGGGUAUAAAUGUACCAAGGCGCUCGAGAGAACUCUGGUUAAGGAACUCGGCAAAAUGACCCCGUAACUUCGGGAGAAGGGGUGCUUUUCCCGGUGACAUGAUUCACUUGUAGAGCUGGGAGAAGCCACAGUAAAAUGGCGGUGGCGACUGUUUACUAAAAACAUAGGUCUCUGCGAAGUCGUAAGACGAAGUAUAGGGACUGACGCCUGCCCGGUGCCGGAAGGUUAAGAGGAGAGGUUAGGGCAACCGACGCUUUGAAUCGAAGCCCCGGUAAACGGCGGCCGUAACUAUAACGGUCCUAAGGUAGCGAAAUUCCUUGUCGGGUAAGUUCCGACCUGCACGAAUGGCGUAACGAUCUCCGCGCUGUCUCAACCAGAGACUCGGUGAAAUUGAAAUGGCGGUGAAAAUGCCGUCUACCCGCAGCGUGACGGAAAGACCCUGUGCACCUUUACUAUAGCUUGACAUUGGGUUUUGGGCUGACAUGUGUAGGAUAGGUGGGAGGCUGUGAACUCUGUACGCCAGUAUGGAAGGAGCCAUCCUUGAAAUACCACCCUUGUCAGUUUAAGACUCUAAUCCACUCCUGUAAUCCAGGUUGGAGACAGUGUCUGGUGGGUAGUUUGACUGGGGCGGUCGCCUCCCAAAAAAUAACGGAGGCACGCAAAGGUUCCCUCAGCCUGAUUGGAAACCAGGCGCCGAGUGCAAACGCAUAAGGGAGCUUGACUGCAAGAGUGACGGCUCGAGCAGGGACGAAAGUCGGUGUUAGUGAUCCGGUGGUUCCGAAUGGAAGGGCCAUCGCUCAUUGGAUAAAAGGUACGCCGGGGAUAACAGGCUGAUCGCAUCCAAGAGUCCAUAUCGACGAUGCGGUUUGGCACCUCGAUGUCGGCUCAUCACAUCCUGGGGCUGAAGCAGGUCCCAAGGGUACGGCUGUUCGCCGUUUAAAGUGGUACGCGAGCUGGGUUUAAAACGUCGUGAGACAGUUUGGUCCCUAUCUGCUGUGGGCGUAGGAUAUUUGAGAGGGCCUGUCCCUAGUACGAGAGGACCGGGAUGGACGAACCACUGGUGGACCUGUUGUCCUGCCAAGGGCAUAGCAGGAUAGCCACGUUCGGAAGGGAUAACCGCUGAAAGCAUCUAAGCGGGAAGCCUGCCUCAAGAUAAGAUAUCCUUGCGUAAGUGUGAGGCCCCUUGUAGACCACAAGGUUGAUAGGCCGGAGGUGUAAGUGCGGCGACGCAUUCAGCUUACCGGUACUAACAGGCCGAAAACUUGAUUCU
rnacentral:rRNA from 1 species